GACGGGGCCGCACAAGCGGUGGAGUAUGUGGUUUAAUUCGAUGCAACGCGAAGAACCUUACCUGGUCUUGACAUCCCGGAGACCCUUAGGAAACUAGGGGGUGCCUUCCAUCUGGAAGAAUCUGGAGACAGGUGCUGCAUGGCUGUCGUCAGCUCGUGUCGUGAGAUGUUGGGUUAAGUCCCGCAACGAGCGCAACCCUUGCCUUUAGUUGCCAGCAGUUCGGCUGGGCACUCUAAAGGGACUGCCGGUGUUAAACCGGAGGAAGGUGGGGAUGACGUCAAGUCCUCAUGGCCUUUAUGACCAGGGCUACACACGUACUACAAUGGCCGAUACAAAGGGCAGCGACACUGCGAGGUGAAGCCAAUCCCGUAAAAUCGGUCUCAGUCCGGAUUGGAGUCUGCAACUCGACUCCAUGAAGUUGGAAUCGCUAGUAAUCGUGGAUCAGCAUGCCACGGUGAAUACGUUCCCGGGCCUU
rnacentral:rRNA from 1 species